rnacentral:rRNA from 1 species
GACGAACGCUGGCGGCGUGCCUAAUACAUGCAAGUCGAGCGCAGGAAAUCGACGGAACCCUUCGGGGGGAAGUCGACGGAAUGAGCGGCGGACGGGUGAGUAACACGUAAAGAACCUGCCCUCAGGUCUGGGAUAACCACGAGAAAUCGGGGCUAAUACCGGAUGGGUCAUCGGACCGCAUGGUCCGAGGAUGAAAGGCGCUUCGGCGUCGCCUGGGGAUGGCUUUGCGGUGCAUUAGCUAGUUGGUGGGGUAAUGGCCCACCAAGGCGACGAUGCAUAGCCGACCUGGGAGGGUGAUCGGCCACACUGGGACUGCGAAACGGCCCAGACUCCUACGGGAGGCAGCAGUAGGGAAUCUUCCACAAUGGACGAAAGUCAGAUGGAGCAACGCCGCGUGAACGAUGAAGGCCUUCGGGUCGUAAAGUUCUGUUGUAAGGGAAGAACAAGUGCCGCAGGCAAUGGCGGCACCUUGACGGUACCUUGCGAGAAAGCCACGGCUAACUACGUGCCAGCCGCCGCCGUAAUAC